GUUCCCGUAGCGUAGUGGUUAUCACGUUCGCCUCAAGAGCGAACGGUCCCAGUUUAGAACUCGGGCGGAAACA
rnacentral:tRNA from 1 species